AUCAUCCGGUGUUCUCACCGGUGCACUUCGCUAGGUUGAGGCCAGCAUCGGUUCAGGUGGCGGGAUAAAGGCCUUGGGAAUGUAGCUUCUUUCGGGGAGUGUUAUAGCCCUCGGUGCAAUGCCGCCUACCUGGACCGAGGACCGCGCUUCGGCUAGGAUGCUGGCGUAAUGGUUGUAAGCGA
rnacentral:rRNA from 1 species